GGAGUUCAAGCUGGAUGUGGAGAACUGCAGUUUCCUGGAUGAGAGCUGGCUCCUGCCGGUUCAAGACAUCUAUGAAGUCGUGCCCUGCCAG